rnacentral:rRNA from 1 species
CGGCGAACGGGUGAGUAACGCGUGGAUAACCUGCCCUGAGGUGUGGAACAACCAAGGGAAACUUUGGCUAAUACCGCAUGAUACCGAGAGGUCAAAGGGGGCUCGCAAGGGCUCUCGCCACAGGAGGGGUCCGCGUCCGAUUAGCUAGUUGGUAGGGUAAUGGCCUACCAAGGCGACGAUCGGUAGCCGGCCUGAGAGGGUGAUCGGCCACACUGGAACUGAGACACGGUCCAG